rnacentral:rRNA from 1 species
UAAAGGGUGCGCAGGCGGCGCGCCAAGUCAGCGGUCAAAGUUCCGGGCUCAACCCGGUGUCGCCGUUGAAACUGGCGUGCUCGAGUGCGUGCGAGGAAGGCGGAAUGCGUUGUGUAGCGGUGAAAUGCAUAGAUAUGACGCAGAACUCCGAUUGCGAAGGCAGCUUUCCAGCGCGCUACUGACGCUGAGGCACGAAAGCGUGGGGAUCGAACAGGAUUAGAUACCCUGGUAGUCCACGCAGUAAACGAUGACUACUAGCUUUCCGGGAUGAUUGAGUCCUGGGAGGCACAGCGAAAGCGUUAAGUAGUCCACCUGGGGAGUACGCCGGCAACGGUGAAACUCAAAGGAAUUGACGGGGGCCCGCACAAGCGGAGGAACAUGUGGUUUAAUUCGAUGAUACGCGAGGAACCUUACCCGGGCUCAAACGACAGCGGACAGCUCCCGAAAGGGGGUCUCCGGCAACGGCCGCUGUCGAGGUGCUGCAUGGUUGUCGUCAGCUCGUGCCGUGAGGUGUCGGCUUAAGUGCCAUAACGAGCGCAACCCCCAUCUCCAGUUGCCACCGGGUCGUGCCGGGCACUCUGGAGGGACUGCCAGCGCAAGCUGCGAGGAAGGCGGGGAUGACGUCAAAUCAGCACGGCCCUUACGUCCGGGGCGACACACGUGUUACAAUGGCGGAGAACAGAGGGGAGCCACGUGGCGACACGGAGCCGAUCCCUAAAAUCCGUCUCAGUUCGGAUUGGAGUCUGCAACCCGACUCCAUGAAGCUGGAUUCGCUAGUAAUCGCGCAUCAGCCAUGGCGCGGUGAAUACGUUCCCGGGCCUUGCACACACCGCCCGU